CCUACGGGAGGCAGCAGUGGGGAAUAUUGCACAAUGGGGGAAACCCUGAUGCAGCGACGCCGCGUGAAUGAAGAAGUCUUUCGGUAUGUAAACCUCUAUCAGCAGGGACGAAAAUGACGGUACCUGACUAAGAAGCCCCGGCUAACUACGUGCCAGCAGCCGCGGUAAUACGGAGGGGGCAAGCGUUAUCCGGAUUUACUGGGUGUAAAGGGAGCGUAGGCGGUUUAGCAAGUCAGAAGUGAAAGGCCGGGGCUCAACUCGAGGACUGCGUUUGAAACUGGUGAACUAGAUUGCAGGAGAGGUAAGUGGAAUUCCUAGUGUAGCGGUGAAAUGCGUAGAGAUUAGGAAGAACACCAGUGGCGAAGGCGACUUACUGGACUGUAAAUGACGCUGAGGCUCGAAAGCGUGGGGAGCAAACAGGAUUAGAUACCCCAGUAGUC
rnacentral:rRNA from 1 species